AAAUUGAAGAGUUUGAUCAUGGCUCAGAUUGAACGCUGGCGGCAGGCCUAACACAUGCAAGUCGAGCGGUAGCACAGAGAGCUUGCUCUCGGGUGACGAGCGGCGGACGGGUGAGUAAUGUCUGGGAAACUGCCUGAUGGAGGGGGAUAACUACUGGAAACGGUAGCUAAUACCGCAUAACGUCGCAAGACCAAAGUGGGGGACCUUCGGGCCUCAUGCCAUCAGAUGUGCCCAGAUGGGAUUAGCUAGUAGGUGGGGUAACGGCUCACCUAGGCGACGAUCCCUAGCUGGUCUGAGAGGAUGACCAGCCACACUGGAACUGAGACACGGUCCAGACUCCUACGGGAGGCAGCAGUGGGGAAUAUUGCACAAUGGGCGCAAGCCUGAUGCAGCCAUGCCGCGUGUGUGAAGAAGGCCUUCGGGUUGUAAAGCACUUUCAGCGGGGAGGAAGGCGUUAAGGUUAAUAACCUCACCGAUUGACGUUACCCGCAGAAGAAGCACCGGCUAACUCCGUGCCAGCAGCCGCGGUAAUACGGAGGGUGCAAGCGUUAAUCGGAAUUACUGGGCGUAAAGCGCACGCAGGCGGUCUGUCAAGUCGGAUGUGAAAUCCCCGGGCUCAACCUGGGAACUGCAUUCGAAACUGGCAGGCUAGAGUCUUGUAGAGGGGGGUAGAAUUCCAGGUGUAGCGGUGAAAUGCGUAGAGAUCUGGAGGAAUACCGGUGGCGAAGGCGGCCCCCUGGACAAAGACUGACGCUCAGGUGCGAAAGCGUGGGGAGCAAACAGGAUUAGAUACCCUGGUAGUCCACGCCGUAAACGAUGUCGAUUUGGAGGUUGUGCCCUUGAGGCGUGGCUUCCGGAGCUAACGCGUUAAAUCGACCGCCUGGGGAGUACGGCCGCAAGGUUAAAACUCAAAUGAAUUGACGGGGGCCCGCACAAGCGGUGGAGCAUGUGGUUUAAUUCGAUGCAACGCGAAGAACCUUACCUGGUCUUGACAUCCACAGAACUUUCCAGAGAUGGAUUGGUGCCUUCGGGAACUGUGAGACAGGUGCUGCAUGGCUGUCGUCAGCUCGUGUUGUGAAAUGUUGGGUUAAGUCCCGCAACGAGCGCAACCCUUAUCCUUUGUUGCCAGCGGUUCGGCCGGGAACUCAAAGGAGACUGCCAGUGAUAAACUGGAGGAAGGUGGGGAUGACGUCAAGUCAUCAUGGCCCUUACGACCAGGGCUACACACGUGCUACAAUGGCAUAUACAAAGAGAAGCGACCUCGCGAGAGCAAGCGGACCUCAUAAAGUAUGUCGUAGUCCGGAUUGGAGUCUGCAACUCGACUCCAUGAAGUCGGAAUCGCUAGUAAUCGUAGAUCAGAAUGCUACGGUGAAUACGUUCCCGGGCCUUGUACACACCGCCCGUCACACCAUGGGAGUGGGUUGCAAAAGAAGUAGGUAGCUUAACCUUCGGGAGGGCGCUUACCACUUUGUGAUUCAUGACUGGGGUGAAGUCGUAACAAGGUAACCGUAGGGGAACCUGCGGUUGGAUCACCUCCUUA
rnacentral:rRNA from 1 species